rnacentral:lncRNA from 1 species
AAAUAUUUGAGUACUAGAGGGAAGAAAGAAAAACUCUUUUGAAUCUUAAGAAUUGUUGAGUGUUUGAAAGUUAGACAUUAAAGAAAAAAACCUAUUCUUCUUCACUGUUAACAAUUAGCAUCAACUGCUAUUGUUCAUUAAAGCUUCAAGCUUCUUUUUUCUUGAGUGAUAAAAAUCAGAAGUUAUUUUUGGUAACUGGAUACUUCUUUAUUGGUAUGUCUCCUGUGUUUUCAGUUAUUCCCGUUGUUACUGGGUUAUUCCUGUUUGUUGAACUGUUGUUGUUGUGUGUACGCUGCAAUUGUUUCCUACUGAUCUUCAUCUUCUUUGUAUUCUAAUACCAGGUACACCAUUUUGAAUCACUUUGAUGUACGCCUUGAAGAUGAAAUGAAAUGGC